rnacentral:rRNA from 1 species
AGGACGAACGCUGGCGGCGUGCCUAACACAUGCAAGUCGAGCGGAGACAGACGGAAAGCUUGCUUUUGUCUGGUUCAGCGGCGGACGGGUGAGUAACGCGUCGAGCAACCUGCCUUUAACAGGGGAAUAACGCAUCGAAAGAUGUGCUAAUACCGCAUAAGACCACGGCAUCACAUGGUGCGAGGGGUCAAAGGAGCAAUCCGGUUAAAGAUGGGCUCGCGUCCGAUUAGCUGGUUGGUGAGACAACAGCCCCACCAAGGCGACGAUCGGUAGCCGACCUGAGAGGGUGAUCGGCCACAUUGGAACUGAGAUACGGUCCAGGACUCCUACGGGAGGCAGCAGUGGGGAAUAUUGGGCAAUGGGCGAAAAAGCCUGACCCAGCAACGCCGCGUGAGGGAAGAAGGGUUUCGGCUCGUAAACCUCUGUCCUAUGGGACGAAGGAAGUGACGGUACCAUAAGGAGGAAGCCCCGGCUAACUACGUGCCAGCCGCCGC